rnacentral:rRNA from 1 species
UACGUAGGGGCCCAGCGUUGUCCGGAUUCAUUGAGCGUAAAGCGCGCGCAGGCGGCCCGGUAUGCCGCCCGUGAAAUCCCCCGGCUCAACCAGAAAGGGUCGGGGGGGACUGCCUGGCUAGAGGACGGGAGAGGAGCGCGGAAUUCCCGGUGUAGCGGUGAAAUGCGUAGAGAUCGGGAGGAAGGCCGGUGGCGAAGGCGGCGCUCUGGAACGUUUCUGACACUGAGGCUCGAAAGCGUGGGGAGCAAACAGG